rnacentral:rRNA from 1 species
UACGUAGGGGGCAAGCGUUGUCCGGAUUUAUUGGGCGUAAAGCGCGCGCAGGCGGUCCCUUAAGUCUGAUGUGAAAGCCCACGGCUCAACCGUGGAGGGUCAUUGGAAACUGGGGGACUUGAGUACAGAAGAGGAAAGCGGAAUUCCACGUGUAGCGGUGAAAUGCGUAGAGAUGUGGAGGAACACCAGUGGCGAAGGCGGCUUUCUGGUCUGUAACUGACGCUGAGGCGCGAAAGCGUGGGGAGCAAACAGG